UAGGGAAUCUUCCGCAAUGGGCGAAAGCCUGACGGAGCAACGCCGCGUGAGUGAUGAAGGUCUUCGGAUCGUAAAACUCUGUUAUUAGGGAAGAACAAAUGUGUAAGUAACUAUGCACGUCUUGACGGUACCUAAUCAGAAAGUCACGGCUAACUACGUGCCAGCAGCCGCGGUAAUACGUAGGUGGCAAGCGUUAUCCGGAAGUAUUGGGCGUAAAGCGCGCGUAGGCGGUUUUUUAAGUCUGAUGUGAAAGCCCACGGCUCAACCGUGGAGGGUCAUUGGAAACUGGAAAACUUGAGUGCAGAAGAGGAAAGUGGAAUUCCAUGUGUAGCGGUGAAAUGCGCAGAGAUAUGGAGGAACACCAGUGGCGAAGGCGACUUUCUGGUCUGUAACUGACGCUGAUGUGCGAAAGCGUGGGGAUCAAACAGG
rnacentral:rRNA from 1 species